CCACAAAAAGAAUAGCCAAUCGCAAGUGAGCGCACAAAGUUUUCUUUUUGUAUGCUCACUCGUGAUUGGCUAUUUUCUAAUAACUAAUUUAAAAUCCACCAGUAAUUUAAACUCGAGAGCAAUAAGCUUUAUAAAUAAAUAAAUUUUCAUGAAUUUUAACUCUUCUGCAUUAUUAAUUAAAAUAUACUUUCGAUUAGGAAGGAAAAAAAAGCAGACGACAUUUUAACUUUAAAAAAAGAUAUCGUCUGCCUACUUGUAAUUGGUUAUUUCCAGUUACCAUGGAAACCUUUAUAACCUUUAUCAUCCGCCAUUUUUAAAAUCGGGAAGCAAUUUUUUUUGAUGACUGUGAUCAGAUGAUGAGCUCAAGACACUCAGGAUAAAAUCUGCUGAAAAUUGGUACUGUAAGAAAAAUGCUGCAUUUAAAGUACCUUUGAUAAUGAUGCAAACAUUAUUUUUUUAAAAAAUGAUGCCAUGCCAGUAAGUAAAUACAGAGUUAUAUUCAUUAUGAUAAAACAAGUUUUCUUUUUUUUAAAGAAGAUAAAUAUGAUUAUUUUCUGAUUUAAAUCAAAUAGUAUGAGGAAAAAAAAGAGUAUAAAAAUACAGUGUCUUUCAAAAAGAAUGUUGCCGUUUUAAAUUAUUGUAAUAAAUUAUAUUAAUUAUUAUCCAAGAAUGUUGUAACAUACAUUAAAAUAUUGGAAAAAUGUCCAAGUUUGACAUUUUCCCAUUACAAUUUCUCAACAUGUAUACUUUGUAUCAUACAGCACACAUUUGACAAAUACUCAAAUUCUUCCUA